AAUCCAUAGGUUAAUGAGGCGAACCGGGGGAACUGAAACAUCUAAGUACCCCGAGGAAAAGAAAUCAACCGAGAUUCCCCCAGUAGCGGCGAGCGAACGGGGAGGAGCCCAGAGCCUGAAUCAGCAUGUGUGUUAGUGGAAGCGUCUGGAAAGGCGCGCGAUACAGGGUGACAGCCCCGUACACAAAAGCGCAUGUGCUGUGAGCUCGAUGAGUAGGGCGGGACACGUGGUAUCCUGUCUGAAUAUGGGGGGACCAUCCUCCAAGGCUAAAUACUCCUGACUGACCGAUAGUGAACCAGUACCGUGAGGGAAAGGCGAAAAGAACCCCGGCGAGGGGAGUGAAAAAGAACCUGAAACCGUGUACGUACAAGCAGUGGGAGCCCCACCACCAAAGCAUUUGCUGUACCGCGUUGACGGAGCGAAGCGACGUCAAACCGAUAAAACAGCAGUGUAAAGUGAGCCGCAGGGCGCUUUGCGCGACAGC
rnacentral:rRNA from 3 species